AGGGCCAAUUGAGACAGGUUGUGGAAAGGGGAACAGUUAAAUUUGUAAUUUUGGUUGUGUGAAACACUUCUUUGGGCCUCAUAAACAACCACAGAACCACAAGCUGGGUACAGAGGCAGUCACACAAGAGCGGGUCCGGGAUAUUGGUCAGCAGACAGGGCAAAUCGUUUUGACUGCAAACCACAGAGUUUCAUAGAGUGGUGAAAGAAAUUAUAUAUUCCCCCACUUUAAAGAGAGAGUAAGUUUUAAAGAGGAAACUAUGGCUUCAAACAGCAUAUUUGAGUCAUUUCCUUCUUACCAACAGUGCUUCGUAAGAGAUGGCAAUCUGUCAUUGGGGAUCUCCUCCAUAACACCUGUGUGUUAGCAGUAUUCUUUGCAUGGAAGGCCGACCUUCAAAUAAGGUAUAUCAAGUGCAUAAUGAAGAGUA